rnacentral:rRNA from 1 species
UACGAAGGGGGCUAGCGUUGUUCGGAAUUACUGGGCGUAAAGCGCGCGCAGGCGGCUAUCCAAGUCAGUGGUGAAAGCCCGGAGCUCAACUCCGGAACUGCCAUUGAAACUGUUUAGCUUGAGGACGAGAGAGGUGAGUGGAAUUCCCAGUGUAGAGGUGAAAUUCGUAGAUAUUGGGAAGAACACCGGUGACGAAGGCGGCUCACUGGCUCGUAUCUGACGCUCAGGCGCGACAGCGUGGGGAUCAAACAGG